rnacentral:tRNA from 1 species
GCCGAAGUGGCGGAAUUGGCAUACGCGCCAGCCUUAGGAGCUGGUGCCCGCAAGGGCUUGUGGGUUCAAAUCCCACCUUCGGCACCA